CGCUUCUUUACGGUUCUGUCCCCUAGGCCCCUUCCUUCCAUAAGACCUACUCAGGACUCCACUGGGCUGCUGACUACUCACCCUCCCCUCAGGGCUUGCAGUUUCCAAACCAGACACAAUCUCCCAGUUGGAGAAAGAAAAAGGAUCCUAGAUGAUAGUGAGACAAAUUUCAGGAAACUCCAUCCAAAUAAGUAAAUGAGAAUGAGGACAGGAUUCAUUGCAUGGUGGCAUGUGCCUGCAGUCCCAGCUACUCAAGAGGCUGAGGUGGGAGGAUCGCUUGAACUCAGGAGUUGAAGGCUGCAGUGGGUGAGGAUCACAACACUGAAUUCCAGCUGAGGUGACAGAAUGAGACCCUGUCUCUCUAAAAAACAAGCAAGCAAACAAACCAAAAACCACAGACAAACCAGACCCCUCUUAGCAGAAUACUUCCAUGAGGUAAUAAAAGGUUUAAUUUAUUUCAGAAGUUUCUAGAUUUUAUUGUCUCUAUUUAGCCAAAGCCACAAGAAAAGUCAAAUUCAUAUCUUUAAAUGCUUUCAUUAUCAAUCAAGAAAGAAGAAAGUGAAACGAACAAACAAUUUUACUCAAGAAACUAGUGAGAAAUCAAAGAAAUGUCCAAGAAGUAGGAGACAAGAAUUAAUCAAAACAGAUUAACAGUGGAAUAAAUAAAUGAAUCCAACUGGUUCUUUGUAAUGGAAUGUAGAAAGACAUACUCUAUUCUUCUGGAUAGGAAGAUGAAAUAUCAUAAUCAUAUCAAUGCAAGUUUUAUGCAUGCUCAAACAUGUAUAAACUAAGAAAAAAUCUGAAAGGACAGACAGCAAAAUGUUUGCAGUUUUUUUCCUCCAAGUGGUAAGAUUAAAGAACACAGACAAAAAUAGAAACUCCUCACAUGACCCACCACGAAGCCCAUCAGAUGGCAGAAUGCAGAAUCAGGUUGCAAUGGACUGAUCUUAAAACAGAUGAAGCAGUGGAGAAAAUCUUCCUGGAGCUGAUGGUAUAAUUUGCUUCUUGAAACAAUGACAGUCCAUGAAAUAAGGUGGGGAAGAUGUUUUGAACCUCUCUCAGCAGCAGAUCCCUAAAUCACAGACCCAGAACUUGGAGGAAACAGGAAACAGGAGGCCAUCUCUGCACCUCUCCAGCACUGCUCUGGUUGGUGGGCAGAAUAUCAUACAAUCAUCACGAUUCUUAUAUCAAAAACCAAAUUCUAGACUGAUUAAAUAAUUAUUUUUUUAAAUGAGAAAAGUUAUCGUUUAUUUGAUCUUGGGCUAGGGAAGAUAUUUCCAAGCAAAAAGGGUAAAAAGAAGGAAAAAGAAAUGAUUAACAGAUUGGAAGGCAAUAACAAUAUAAUAUCAAGUGCUGGCAAGAGCUCAGAGAAGUGUGUGUUCUCAUGACUGCUGGAACAAAUUGGUAUAAUAUUUCUGAAGGGCAAUCUGGCUGAAUAUGUUAGAAGUCUUUAAAAUAUUUAUACUCUGACUCAGUAAUUCAACAUCUAGAAAUUUUUCCUAAGUAAGUAAUAAGAAAGAGUUGAAAAAAGUAUUUGAAUAUUGAAAGACUGGAAAGAACAUAAAGGUUCAAUAAUACAUAUAUGUUCAACAACAGGGGACUAGUAAAUAUGAAUUAUUUAUAUGAUAAAAUACUAUCUAACCUUAAAAUAAUGUUUUAAAUAAUAUUUAAUGAUGAGAAUAUGCUGAGAAAAGUUUAAUCAUUUUAAAAAAGUUACAUGCAAAAUUAAAGUUAAUAACAUGUACAAGAUUAUUCUAAUUUUUUUUUUUUUUGAGAUG
rnacentral:lncRNA from 1 species